CAGUAGCCACGGUAAAACGUAGGGUGCAAGCGUUAAUCGGAAUUACUGGGCGUAAAGCGUGCGCAGGCGGUUAUAUAAGACAGAUGUGAAAUCCCCGGGCUCAACCUGGGAACUGCAUUUGUGACUGUAUAGCUAGAGUACGGCAGAGGGGGAUGGAAUUCCGCGUGUAGCAGUGAAAUGCGUAGAUAUGCGGAGGAACACCGAUGGCGAAGGCAAUCCCCUGGGCCUGUACUGACGCUCAUGCACGAAAGCGUGGGGAGCAAACAGGAUUAGAUACCCCUGUAGUCCCUGUCUCUUUACA
rnacentral:rRNA from 1 species